UGCACUGCAUAUACUUUUGAAAGAAAUGUAUUUACUUUCAAUGUAUAUGCAGUGCUUG
rnacentral:pre_miRNA from 1 species